rnacentral:misc_RNA from 1 species
UGCUGCCCUGUCAGUCUGUCUACCUGCGACAGCAAUGAAAAGCUAUCGCUGAGUAAAAUUUACUCAGUGGUGCACAAUAACAAUUUAAAAUGUGGUAUGUAAAACUUUUAUUGACAAUUUACAAUCCAAACAAUUCACAAUUUUUCAAAGCUCAUAUAACACAAAUUUGAUCAAACAAUUGAAUAACACAGUGUUGCCAAUCAAUAACUCAACUUAGGUCAUGACAUAAACAUUUCCGAACAUGCUGUUUUGUAUACUACGACAAGGCAUACUCACUCCACUAAUCGAAAUCAAUGAGGAAGGAAGCUAGCUAUAUAAUGAGUACUCAUCCGAUCACCUCAACUGGUAAACCAAAGAGGGAGAAAAAUAAACGAUCACAACUCCAUAAAUGGAGAAGGAAAAUAAACGAUCACAACCCCAUAAAUGGAGAAGGAAUGAUAUGAUACUGUCAUGCUAAGUGUGAACACAAAAUCAAUUCAAAACAAUUUAUUCAAAUAAUUUAUGAAAAAUCUAAUCAAUUUCCAAAGUCAUAUUUGCGAUUAUAAAAUGGCAACACAGUACAUAAUUAAUCACAGAAGUCAAAUUUUUUAGAAUAAAAUAUUUAAACAAGAAUUAUUGUGCACAGACCUGACUUGAGUCGCCUUUAAGCCUUGACUCAGUCUCUUCGAAUUUCCAAGCCUUUUUCAUCUUGUGUGCAGAAUUUUCUUCUCC